CAGGCAGAUUGCUCAGUAAUAUAAAAUGGCCAAACCAAAUUGUGACACAACACAGUCACUUUACGUUAACUCCAUUCCUUAUGUGACACUUCUGAGUUUGCAGGCAGCACAUGUUGGAAAUACCAGAGAUGAGGUAUUAGAGAAUCCAGACUCCAGUGUGGCUACAAUGGAAGUGGAUUUAUGGCAGUGUGAGCAAAACCCAGUAUAAAUUACAUCUGAAGUUAUCAAUAGCUGCAGAAGUGAAAAAGUGCAGGCAUAGCUCCUUCACCACUGGAAGGCUUACCAGGAACGUUGUCUACUCCAUAUAAAACGUGUAAAAUAGCACAUAUGUGACUAGAAACAGGUAAUAGUGAUGGUGUGAUUUUUCUUUCUUUGCUAAUGACCUACAUGUGUUGUUUUGCUUAAGGUAUUCAACAAUUUAUUCUCUGUAUUUCAGGAAACCCACGCUGAGCUGACGCAGUAUCUAAUGUUUCAACACUGCAAUACACUUUUUCUUCCUUAGCCUUUCCCAUACAGGGUUCACAAUGAUGUGUAGGAUACAUUAGUUAUGCCUCUGCUACUGUCCUGCUUUUGUGUGGAAAACAGAAAUGAAAAGAGUUUUGCAAACCACUCAGCUCAUCCAUGGCCAUGAUGGAAUUCAGUGCAGGUCUCUACCUUCCAACACUCUGCUUUAGCCGAGUUUGCCUUGUUCUUCACAAGGGAUGGCUUCUUCCAGCAAACAAACACUGUCCCUGCUCAACCUACCAUAAACAUUAUUAAAUAUAUAUAUAUAUAUA
rnacentral:lncRNA from 1 species